UUGACCUCGGAUCAGGUAGGGAUACCCCGCUGAACUUAAGCAUAUCAAUAAGCGGGGAGGGA
rnacentral:rRNA from 1 species